GAUGAACGCUGGCGGCGUGCCUAAUACAUGCAAGUCGAGCGAACAGACGAGGAGCUUGCUCCUCUGACGUUAGCGGCGGACGGGUGAGUAACACGUGGAUAACCUACCUAUAAGACUGGGAUAAUUUCGGGAAACCGGAGCUAAUACCGGAUAAUAUAUUGAACCGCAUGGUUCAAUAGUGAAAGACGGUUUUGCUGUCACUUAUAGAUGGAUCCGCGCCGCAUUAGCUAGUUGGGAAGGUAACGGCUUACCAAGGCAACGAUGCGUAGCCGACCUGAGAGGGUGAUCGGCCACACUGGAACUGAGACACGGUCCAGACUCCUACGGGAGGCAGCAGUAGGGAAUCUUCCGCAAUGGGCGAAAGCUUGACGGAGCAACGCCGCGUGAGUGAUGAAGGUCUUCGGAUCGUAAAACUCUGUUAUUAGGGAAGAACAAAUGUGUAAGUAACUAUGCACGUCUUGACGGUACCUAAUCAGAAAGCCACGGCUAACUACGUG
rnacentral:rRNA from 1 species